rnacentral:rRNA from 1 species
UACGAAGGGGGCUAGCGUUGUUCGGAGUUACUGGGCGUAAAGGGCGCGUAGGCGGCCCCCCAAGUCGGGCGUGAAAGCCCACGGCUCAACCGUGGAAUUGCGCUCGAGACUGAAGGGCUCGAGGACGGGAGAGGAUGGUGGAAUUCCCAGUGUAGAGGUGAAAUUCGUAGAUAUUGGGAAGAACACCGGUGGCGAAGGCGGCCAUCUGGACCGUAUCUGACGCUGAGGCGCGAAAGCGUGGGGAGCAAACAGG